rnacentral:lncRNA from 1 species
GGAGAAGGGCCGAGGGAGAAAAUAAACCAAACACGGACAGAAACUCAGAAUAUAUUUGUGUUUCCAGCAACAAUAAAAACUUCGCUUUUGACUGUGAGGAGAAUUUAAAUAAUAACCGUUUGUUUAACCUGAGGAACACAUUUGGAUUAUUCUUGUGAAAACAGCAUCUGAUGAAGAGAUGAACGCUCAGCCUGAUGAAGAGACAAACAGUCUGCCCCGCAUGCUGCUGGACAGUGAGGACUCUGACGAAGGUAACAGCUUUGAAAUGUUCAUAAAAAAGUCCAGAAACCAGUAUCAUUGCUCUACAUGUAAACGGGUCGUAUCUCUACAACAGAAGUCAGUCAAGAGGAACCGGCACUCACAAGCUGGAACGAGCUGUCCAUCAUAGAGCGUGUCGGCCUCAACAGGUGACACCAUAACAGAUUUAUCAAAGUUUAACAUGAGUUAAUCUGACUUUUCAUCACACUUUCUCCUGUCUUGUUUUCUGACAGUGUGGAGAUGUCAGAGAAAGAUCUGGAGACGGCCUUCUCUCAGAUCGCUCUGGCCGUCCGCUGUGAUCAGUACACGCUGAAGCAGAGGCUGCAGGCGGAGGAGCACGCGCGCAACUUGGCUGAGGAGAACAUCCAGCUGGAGCUGACCAGAGGCAGGGAGACCCUGGAGGUGCAGUAAAUGACACGUGAUGUGUGAAAUAAGCUUUAAUGACACCACCAGAGGGGCAGGUGCACGUGUGUGUUUGUGUUUUCAGACGCUGAAGGGCCUGUGUCUGGACAGUAGGCGCAGUGAGAUCCUGCAGAGGCUGGAGCUGUCUCUGGACAUCCUCACUGGGACUGUGGAACGAAUCUUCAACACAGCCGAGGUGCUCGGCGCUGUGCACCAGGAGGCUCGAGUGAGUCGUGCAGUCGAGCUGAUGGUGGCUCACGUGGAGAACCUCAGGAGACGACAUGACAGAAGCGUGGCAGACCUGGAGGAGGCCAAGAAGACGAUCCAGCAGCAGAACCCCUACAGAAACAUCAUCGACCCCAGAGCAUCGCCAGGUCUCUGGUAUUCUGUCUACAGCUGUUUGUCUUGUCCUGCCAUCAUGUGCAACAUUUGACUGAAUCUCUUGUUCUAGAUCCAGAGGAAAGUGACGGCAGAAGAAAAACCCUUCAGCAG